rnacentral:rRNA from 1 species
UACGUAGGGGGCAAGCGUUGUCCGGAUUUAUUGGGCGUAAAGAGCGUGUAGGCGGCUUCACAGGUCCGCUGUGAAAACUCGAGGCUCAACCUCGAGCUGUCGGUGGAAACCGUGUGGCUAGAGUCCGGAAGAGGAGAGUGGAAUUUACGGUGUAGCGGUGAAAUGCGCAGAUAUCAGGAGGAACACCAAUUGCGAAGGCAGCUCGCUGGGACGUUACUGACGCUGAGACGCGAAAGCGUGGGGAGCAAACAGG